CGCCCUCCACCUUUUUGUCCUGUUCCGGCUUCCACAGAUUGGACGAGGCCCACCCACCUUGGGGAGGGGCCAGCUGCUGUGUUCAGUCCGCCAUUGCAAACACGAAGCUCUUCCAGAAACGCCCUCACAGACACCCCGGAAGUCACGUACCCACUCUGUAGGUGCCCCGGGGCACAGGCAAGCGGACGAGCCAGUUAUCCCUCAGAGCUCCUGCUGCCUCGCCCGCUUUCUCUCGGAAACGUGAAGUGUGGCCUCAGCUGAAAGUGAGGUGGGCCUCAUUCAAUCAGUUGAAUUCUUCAAGAGAGAAAAACUGAAGUCCCUUAGAAGGAAAGAGUUCUGCCUUCAGACUGUCUUUGAACUUAAGACUGUAGCGUCGACUCCUGCCGGAAUUUCCAGCCUGCUGGCCAGCUCUGCAGAUUCACACUUGCCAGCCUCCACAAUCGCAGCUGAGGCGGAGGAACCCUAAGGGCUCAUUGAGAUCAUGGAUUUGCCCUUCUAUGCAUUGAUGGAGCACCUGCUGCCCACAGCGUCUGUAUUUGGUGCUGGGAUGCUGAGCCUCCUUCUUUAUGAAUUUUUAAAAGGACACUGAGAUCUUCAAACAGAGGCUGCCACUCUAAGCAAACAGAUCCCGAGCCCUGGACUCUGAAGCUUGGGCCCAGUUCUCCUUUUCUCCGGGUUUCAGAUCCCACUGUGAAGUGAGGGGGCCCUUCUGAUUCAGGACCCGGGGAAGCCAGGGGCAUGAGCAUCGGUGCCUCUUCUCUAUUUCAAGGACCCUUCUGGGUGUAAAGUUCUCUGAGAUGCCUUACAUGGAUUCCCACCACUGCAAGAUAACCAUCGUAUGUAAAGUGUUAUGACCAGCAGAGCGUAAUUGAAGUGCAUUCCAGAGGGAAAGACAGCGGCUCAGAUGAGGCUUCAGGCUUGACCAAAUCUGACUGGCUGGCUGCCGGAGACACUGCUACCCAUCGGCCCUUAAUAAAUGGCCUCAUUUGAUCAUCAUGUGAUCUUCAGAAGCUGGGCUUGAUUAUCCUUGCCAAACAAAAUGCUGAAACCAAAAAUCUGAAAGGUAUUUCUUGCUAAGUAAGGGAGAGCUGUGCUUGUAGAGUGUGGUCACCCUGAACAGCGCAAACUGCUUGUGGAGCUCCAAGACUGGCAGACUUGGGAGGGGGAGCAUUUAGGGAUUGGAUGACUUUGGCCGUGGACUCGGGGUUGGGACAGUGAGGCUGCCACUGAAUGGCUGUCACUCAGAAAUGUAGUUACUGAUAAAAAGUUGACUCAAUUUGUCAGGGCAGGCUUAAAAUCAGUUUUGGUAGUUACUUUUUGUCAUGGCUGAAGAGCAAUCCUCUGUCUUCUUGAAUUUGGACCUUUAUUUGGACUUGAGUUUGGAAAAACUAAGAAAUUUUUGUUCUCAUUUUCAUUACAUGCUUGAGAAAACUGAGGCUCAGACAGGCGAGUAAGUUUCCCAGGGUCACGCAUUUACCGGCUGGCAUAUUAAAGUUUUGAACAAAGUCCACGCUUUUCUUACACACUAUUCUCAUUAGUAUUAGUUUUAGUAGUAAUCGUAGCUGUACUUUUGGUUCAUAGGUUCAUAGAGAGUUGUUAAUCCUACUCCUCACUGAUAAUCCAUUCUCGCCAUCAUGCCCUACAAGACCUCUGGUUGUUUAAUUCCAUUUCUCCUUCAUGCUGGAUCCCAUCUCCCAUCCCCUCUCCACCCCUCCGACAGAGUCACUCUUUCUAAUGUCUUUUUAUCUGUACCUAAAUAUUUGUGUAGCUUUGAAAAAUCUAAUUUGUCAAGGGUUAUGUGUUCAUUUUACAUUUCCAUACAUGUUAUUGUGCAAUAUAUAGAUCUCAUUUGUUUCCUAAUUUUUUUCACUCACCACUGUUGUGAAAACACACUGACAUUUCUGUAUGACCCUCUUCUGACCUUUGCUUCACAGCGUGCAUCUACCAUACCUUAACCUACCCUGUUCCUCUUGUCAUGGACCCCUGGAUUGCCUCUGGCUCCCCCCAACACACACCUUACUGCAACAUCCACACACUGGGGUCUUUAUGGAUUUCCCUGGGUUUUCACUUAGGAGUGGGAUUGCUGGAUCCUAGG
rnacentral:lncRNA from 1 species